AUAAAUACAGUGAAAAGAAAGAGUAGAUUAUUGAACUUGCGUAGAGAACUCUUGGUUGGUGAAAAAGAGUGAGGGAAUGUAAUUGAAUUCAUCUUGGAGUAGACGGCUGAACAAAGUAGGCUUAGUCCGGGAAUGCCCGUUAUAGCAUGAGAGUAUGAACCUAAAGGUUAGGCGUACUUGAUAAGGUUUAUUUAGUAAUAGAUAAGCAAACUAAGGUGGUAACACGAAAGAUGUAUCUCUCGUCCUUAUG
rnacentral:ncRNA from 1 species